UCAGGAAGUGCUGGUGGAGUAUCCAACCCUAAUUUGACAAACAUGGAUUUAAAUUUCCACUUGAAAGAUGAUGCUUUGAGGCCAACUUCAUCAGCAAUCCCUACUGAAGACCAAUGAGAGCUACCUAACAUAGGCUAUUCUGACAGAUUCAUGCAGAAUUUAUUCCCUGAUAAAAGACCAAUUUAGAUUGCUAAACAUUAAAAACCAAAUUUUAGUUCAAGCUGUUCGCUGUAAGUUUGGAAAAUGUGGAAGUUCAUGAUAUUAUAUAUAUUUCUUUUAAUUAUAAUUUUUUGCUAACCUAACUUAGUUUAAAUUAUUCAAUCUAUUAAAUGAAAAUGAAACAAUGAAUGAAAAUUUAAAAAAAUAACUUACAGAUUGUACUUUAAGAUUGAUUGUUCUUAAAAAAUUUCUGUUUAUUAAUUGACUUUAGGAGUGGAGUGUAGCUAUUAUAAAAAUACAAGAUUGAGCUACAUAAUAAUAAAAAUCAUAAUCUUUACAUUUAUUACAAUCCGUUGCCCCAUUAGGUUUUACUUAUCUAAACAAGAUACUUACAUGGUCAGCUUUGGUUUAGCUUGACUAGAAAAUUUGUAUGCACAUUUUAUCACAUAAGGAUAGUAAAUUAACAGUCAUUAAUCUUGAGUAAUUAAAAACCUUAAUUCAUUGAGAAAACAUUGAAUGUAAAUCAAAUAUAUUUUAUCCCAUUUUGAUUUUGCUUUUGUUAUAUUUUAACAUUGCAUCUUUGAAUAUGCUUUUUACAUGUAUAUUCUACAUAUUUUAAUCAAUGCUUUUAUUUCAUUUUAAUCAUUAAUGUGUUAGUAGAUUGCUGUUUCACUAAAAAAAAUAGUUCUAAUUAGUUUAAAUUCAGAGAUAUUUAAACUCAACAUUUUGAAUUUAUCUUGGCCCAGAUUUUAUGUUAUUGACAAAUAGUAUCUGCAAGUAAUUUAGCAUGCAAUGCAAAUAUAUUUUACACAUGUUUGUAUUAAUAUAUAUUAUUCUUUUAAACCUAACACAGCUGUAGGUGCUAGGUCAACAUAUGAUGAGCAGGACAUGCCUACUCAUUUGAAAAUUUUAAACUUUACAGUAAACUAAAACAUACCAUUGUGUUUUUUUUUAAUUCGGUUAUUUUAAGAUAUAAUUUGUGAAGUAUUUUAACACUAUUCUAUUUUUAAUUAUAAAAAAAAUAACGUGUUAUCGUAGAUUUUGUUUUAUAUUAUUUUGACUCCUUUUUGUGCACCAAUUUCUAAAUCUAAAAAAAAACACAUAGUUAAAAAAAAUAGUUCGCUAGAUUUAAUGUUGGUACUGCAAUAUUGAUUUGAUUUGCUUUCUUUCUAUUUUGUUGAUGGAUUUUUUUGUGUGUGUUCUUUUGUAUGUGCCAUUCACAUUCUUGAAAUUUUCUGUGCGAUAUAACCACAAUAUUUUUUAUAUUUUGUGUGCAGUGUAAUUUAGCUCUGACAUGAUUAUACCACCAUAUUAAGUUAGGGAUCAUGAUAAAAUACAAAUUACUAGAAGGUUUUUAAUACGGCUAUAAACAUUAUGAGAUGAGAUAAAAAUUUGGAAAAUGCUAUCUAUGGAAAAUGCAUAUACAGAAAGUUUUCUCCAGAAUUUUCUUUCAAAAAAUAAAUUGAAUAAGCUAGUAAAAUUGUAAAAAAAAAUUUUCUAUGUACCUUUAUUAUAAAUAAAUAACUCACUUAGAAUAGUAGUAGAAAUUAUUUUUUUUUAUUACAUUUUUGCUUUGGUGUUGGUAACAUGAGCUUAUUUUUGGGUAUAAAAAUGUGGCCAAGUAUAAAGUUUUUAAAUAUUUCAUAUUAAAAUGAAACAAAAGUAAUGACCAGAAUUUGUUUAUUUUUUCUAAAAUAUUUUUUCAUUUGCCCAGAAAACGUAAUUAAAACAAAAACAUGUUUGUUAAAUUUUAAGUAUUAAAUACUUGUUUAUUUUUUUCAAAUUAGUUACUAGAUUUGAAAUAGGCUUCACAUAAAAAACAAUUCAACUGGUUCUUCUUGUUUACAAAUUUUCACUUCAAAUGUUUUGCAUUGGUACAAAGACGACAUUUAAAAAAAAAAGGAAUCUAUUAAACAAAUUAUAUCAGAAAAGCGAAGUAAAAUGUUAGUAACACUGAAGAAAUAAUUUGAAAUUAAUUUGAAAUUAAGUAAUCAUUUAAUUCAUUUUUCCAAAACUAAUAAGAAUUUUAAAUUAUCGAUACUUUGCUCUUUUACAAUUGCUACAUUGUGUUUAAUUAAAAAUGAAUCACAUCUUAAUAAUUUUAAGUCAGCAUGUUAAUUUUUAUGUCAUUAUAAUGUUAAUGUUUUUUUAAGAAUAAAGAAAAUC